AUGGGAGCUUUGGAGAACCCUGAGAAAGAAGAUGAGGACAAAGUCUGCCCUCCAUGCCCUUGGGAAGGUGUCUCAGGAAGUCAGAAAAUUUAUCCUGAUGUGGGAAAAGUCAGAGGACUGUGCUGGACCUCAGAUCCCAGGGACAUUGAAAGAAUGGGAGUUUUGAAGGAAAAGAAAGAAAGGAUGAUUUGGGAGAAGUUACAUGAUUUACUUGUCAAGGGCUGGAGUGUUGACAGUGGCCUGACUGGAGAGGCGGUGUGCUCCUCGGGUGGCGUUUGGAACUGCUGGACUGCUUUACUGAACAUCAGCCAGAGUCUCCAGUCCCUGCUCUGGUUUUUCACACAUCUACCACCAACAUCAGUGAAUUUCCUUGUCAAAUGCCUCUUUAAAAGACAGGUGAAGAUAAUUGCUAGUCAGCUGGAAGUGCUGCCAAGAUAUGACCUCUGGGAAGGCCUGGAAGACAAGUGGUAUUGUGCAGCACUGCUAACACGCAGCGGCUGAUGCAAAGUAAAGAAUCAAUUUGAAAUUAAGAUGAGUAACAGCGUCAAGCACUUAUAGUCAUAGUGAAGAGCUUUGUCACCAGGCCCUGGGAGAGAUGAGGACACCGCUCUUCCCUUCUCAGCCUCCCCUUGUCCUGUCAGACUCCAGCUGGUUGGACUCUCAAAUGCUCAGCCAUCUAGAAGCAUUUCCUAAUAAAGCACAGCACCUCUGCCA
rnacentral:lncRNA from 1 species